rnacentral:misc_RNA from 1 species
GAUGAAGAACGUAGCGAAAUGCGAUAAGUAAUGUGAAUUGCAGAAUUCAGUGAAUCAUCGAAUCUUUGAACGCACAUUGCGCCCGUCAGUAUUCUGGCGGGCAUGCCUGUUCGAGCGUCAUUACGCCCCUCAAGUCCCCUGUGGACUUGGUGUUGGGGAUCGGCGAGGCUGGUUUUCCAGCACAGCCGUACCUUAAAUUAAUUGGCGGUCUCGCCGUGGCCCUCCUCUGCGCAGUAGUAAAACACUCGCAACAGGAGCCCGGCGCGGUCCACUGCCGUAAAACCCCCCAACUUUUUAUAGUUGACCUCGAAUCAGGUAGGACUACCCGCUGAACUUAAGCAUAUCAAUAAGCGGAGGA